UUAACACAGCCGAGACCUGUUUUCACCAAUCACAUAAGCUCCUCUCCUUGCCUUUAAAUCCACCACAGGCGAGGCGUAUUACUAUUUUCAUGAAGUAGUCAAAGAGAUCAAGAGAUGUCUUAAGACAGUAAUGCCACAAGAUGGCGACAGAGGGCAGCUCCUCAACAAGUGUCCUCCACACUCUCUCAUAUGAGCACAGAUGGAUUUGGUGUGUGUAAUGUUGGACCCACUGGUAAGACAAACACCCUUUUCCACAAAUAAAG